rnacentral:tRNA from 1 species
GGACAGGUGUCUGAGCGGUCGAAAGAGACGGUCUUGAAAACCGUUGAACGCAAGUUCCGCGGGUUCGAAUCCCGCCCUGUCCGCAA